AUUUUUUUUACCCCUAAAUGCCGUGCAGUCAGAUAGACAGGCUUUUGGUUCACUCUCCUGCGCCAGAGUUGGCCUCGCCCCUCGGGACCCGCCGGGCGCCGUGUCCCUCCCGGAGGUCCGGAUCGGCCGUUUGUCGGCCAUUCGUUUUGUUUCAAAGUUUGUCAAGUCUACCCUUCCCGCGACUUCAUUCGUCUUUGAAUUUUUUUCCGUCAAGCCGUGGGCAUGAAGUCCUCCAAGCCACGGUUUUUCCUUUCCCCUCGGUUCGUGCACUCAGGAGGCCGUUCAAAGACGAGUGGCACCGUGCGGAUACUGGGUCCUAUUCUUCCUUGUGAAACACUGCGUUUUAAGUGAAGAAGAGCGCGUUCUGUAGGAAUGCGUGUGGUUUCGUAUCGGGUCAUCUUUUUAUGUCGACAUGCAUGUAAAAUCACCCCUGCCACCAGUGAGUCCGCUUGUGGGUGUGUGCAGAAACGAGAACCCAUUUGAGCUGUCAUGUAUGCUGAUCGGUUCUUGCUUGUUGUCAAGAUAUCGCUGUCGCGGCUAGGCGGAACCCUUCCUCAAGAGGUCCCGCAGCAGAGUUCUUUUUUGCGGACUGAACGGAUGUGUGGUGCUGUGAGUAUCGAUUGAAGCUCGUCUCUUUCCCGUAAGCGGUCCGAUUGUUCCCCGUUUUUUUCAGAUCGACGCCUUGACACCUUUUAGGCCGUUGGGAGUCGCACUGUUGUGUGGCGUUCGACGCGCCGUCACUUGUGACGGACCUCUGGACAACAUUUCCAUGUAUAUAUUAGGUAUAGGUAAAACAGACUUCCUCGGCUUUCCCGCUACAACUUUGUUUCCAGUAUUCUUUUCACCGUUUCUCCUCGAAACCGAGUUUUCUCUUCAGGUUCUAGGUUGCGCGCCACUUUGCAAUCUGUUGUG
rnacentral:lncRNA from 1 species